GGAGGGAUCAUUACCGAGUUUACAACUCCCAAACCCCUGUGAACAUACCUAUACGUUGCCUCGGCGGAUCAGCCCGCGCCCCGUAAAACGGGACGGCCCGCCCGAGGACCCUAAACUCUGUUUUUAGUGGAACUUCUGAGUAAAACAAACAAAUAAAUCAAAACUUUCAACAACGGAUCUCUUGGUUCUGGCAUCGAUGAAGAACGCAGCAAAAUGCGAUAAGUAAUGUGAAUUGCAGAAUUCAGUGAAUCAUCGAAUCUUUGAACGCACAUUGCGCCCGCCAGUAUUCUGGCGGGCAUGCCUGUUCGAGCGUCAUUUCAACCCUCAAGCCCCCGGGUUUGGUGUUGGGGAUCGGCGAGCCCUUGCGGCAAGCCGGCCCCGAAAUCUAGUGGCGGUCUCGCUGCAGCUUCCAUUGCGUAGUAGUAAAACCCUCGCAACUGGUACGCGGCGCGGCCAAGCCGUUAAACCCCCAACUUCUGAAUGUUGACCUCGGAUCAGGUAGGAAUACCCGCUGAACUUAAGCAUAUCAAUAAG
rnacentral:rRNA from 1 species